CUCCCUCCCUCCCUCCCUGCUGGUGGUGCAGCCUGCAUGUGCCCUGGUGACCUGGUUGUGAGUGACAUGUGCCAAGGCCCCAUACUGGAGGUGGUUCACCUGCUGCUCUUUUGCUUUGGUUAAUAUUGGUUUUAUUCCUUGUGGGCAUUAUUAGCUUAAUUAUUUAGUUUGUUUGAAUUAUCUUUGUUUGACCAACUGGGUUACAUCAUUAUUGGCUGUGUUGUUUAUGAUUAUAUUCUUAAUUUCUACAAUAGUUUUUGUUACAGUGCAGCUGAGUGCCACACUGCUGGAGGGCUAUGGCUCUCUGGGUGAGCUCCCCAUGUUGAUGCAUAACAAACUCGCGUACUUGAUUGGUGUCCAGAGAGGGACGUUGAAACUGUGGAUCUUGGGUGCCAAUCUCCCCCC